GGUCCGGAGCCCGCAGACCGCCGCGGAAUGCCGGCGCCCUCCGCCCCGCCGCCCGCGCCCCGCGGUGUCCCCGGCUUGUUGAUGUGUCCUUUGCCGGGCGACUCCCUUUCUGCGGGGUCAAACCAAAGCCGACCUUUGCAAGCUGCUUUCUUCUGAAGAGUAACAUUACCACGCGGGGCCAAGCUGGGAACUGAGUACUUGGGGGAAGAAAUCGGAUGGCUUAGAUACCAGGCCUCUAAAUAUUUAGACAGUCGGGAGGGCCAGCAGCAAAUUCCAAGUCCGUGUGAUAAUUGCACUGCUCAUCAGUCCUACGGCGAGAUCAGUCAGCAAAGUAUAAAAUCAACCAGCGGCGACUUCACGAUUUAUUCUUCGGUGUGCCUCCUUUGGUUUGGAUGGUGGGAAAUUGUCCAUGUGGAGGCCACAGAAGAAAGAGAAAUAGAACAUUUAUGAAAAAACACGCUUAAAUUGGAUGAUCAGAGCUUCGGUUGGAAGAAAACGGACUGAGUUCAGGCCUUUAGAGGACAAAUCGAAGGAGUAAAAUAACCAAGUUUGCAGCUGACCCUAAAGCGCCGAUAGGAAAUACCGGGGAGGAUGAAGUUCGAUAAGAGCGCUCACAUCUGGACAGAUGGAAACAAAACGCCCCGGAGCGUGGCUGGGAACUGUCGUCUGGGAGGAAGCCCAGGUGGUAUCCAGAGCGCUGGCUUAAGCUCAGGGCUGCACGAACCGGGCACUGUGUGGACAUUUUCCCAUUUAACCCCCAGAACACCCAAAGGAGGAGACUGGGCACAGGCAAGAGAAGCUUUGUUGGUCCGUUACCUAAAAAUGCCGAUCAGAGAUGUGAGGGUGGCUCAAACCUCCCCACCUCAGGGGAGCUGACGGCACAGCCUCCUAUGGGACCACGUAUGCAGUCUGGUCCCGGCCCGGGGUGGCACAGCGGGCACACACCCCAAUAACGACAGGAUGCUUGGGGUCAGCGUUCCUGGAGUCAGGCUGAUCCCAGCGGUGUCCAGACAUGGCCGUGCAGGUAUGCGCCACCAGGAGGAAGCUCUGGAGACAAGACUGAAUACUCCACAGUGGUGGUAAAUGGCACACUAGCCGCUGAGAUGGUGGUGAUAGUCCACAGCACUGCAAAUCCCAACGCACUCUCGUGAGGUCCGGUUCGCUGUUCCAGGCCCUCACGUCUCCUACGCUUAACUGGGCCACCUCCUCUCGGUUUUCUGAGAAACUUUCAGUUUUACUGCUGUGGUGCAUUGAUUUCUUAUGUUUGGAUUUGUUUCACAUGUCAAGGAAACAGAGAGAAUGAAAUACUCUGAGGAGCUAGACAAAGCAGCAGUGAGAACUGGAAGAAUAUUUGGACGUCAAUGCGGGGCCUGUACGUCGAGAGCUGUCAGAGAAUUUUUGAAAAACAUAUGCAGAUUUGCAGCCUGUCUAAUAAAAACUGUGU